rnacentral:rRNA from 1 species
GGGCCCGCACAAGCGGAGGAGCAUGUGGUUUAAUUCGAUGAUACGCGAGGAACCUUACCCGGGCUUGAACGUAAGACGAAUAUACAGGAAACUGUAUAGCCUACGGGCGUCUUGCGAGGUGCUGCAUGGUUGUCGUCAGCUCGUGCCGUGAGGUGUUAGGUUAAGUCCUGCAACGAGCGCAACCCUUACAUGUAGUUGCCAGCACGUUAUGGUGGGGACUCUACAGGAACUGCCUACGCAAGUAGAGAGGAAGGUGGGGAUGACGUCAAAUCAGCACGGCCCUUAUGUUCGGGGCUACACACGUGCUACAAUGGCAUGUACAGAGGGCAGCGACCACGCGAGUGGAAGCCAAUCCUCAAAUCAUGUCUCAGUUCGGAUUGGAGUCUGUAACUCGACUCUAUGAAGUUGGAUUCGCUAGUAAUCGCGCAUCAGCCAUGGCGCGGUGAAUACG